rnacentral:rRNA from 1 species
AACUACGCCUACAUGAAGCUGGAAUUGCUAGUAAUCACAGGUCAGCAUACUGUGGUGAAUACGUUCCCGGGCCUUGUACACACCGCCCGUCACACCAUGAGAGUUGAGAAUACCCGAAGCCCAUGUCAAAGUGGUCGAAGGUAGGCUUGAUGAUUGGGGUGAAGUCGUAACAAGGUACC